CAUGUUUGUGAGGUGGAUGUUAGUGCAAUUUAGUGACGUAAAUAUAUUGCACUUACCUUCGCCUUGCAAAUAUA
rnacentral:pre_miRNA from 1 species